AAUCGAGAGCGUCUUCAUUGACCUCUCACCCUUCACAUCCACAUACACCUGUGCACCGUUUGGCUCUUAUAAAAGACGCAAGUCUGUAAUGAGAGUCAUCAAUUUUAUACAUACCCCAGUCUUAUGAAUGUAACAGUUUUAAUAAACAUAAUAAAACUUUUAACAACGGAUCUCUUGGUUCUCGCAUCG
rnacentral:misc_RNA from 1 species